rnacentral:lncRNA from 1 species
UUCCAAUUUUUUGCCAUGUGCACAAAGAGCACAGCUAUGAAUAUUCUUGUACAGGUCUUUUUCCUUAUUAUUUCUUUGGGGUACAAACCCAGCAGUGGUAUGGCUGGAUCAAAGGGCAGUCAGUCUUUUAAAGAGCCCUUUGGGCAUAGUUCCAAAUUGCCUUCCAGAAUGGUUGGAUCAAUUCACAACUCCACCAGCAAUGCAUUAAUGUCCCUACUUUGCCCAUCCCCAUUGCCAGCAUUUAUUACUUUCUGUUGCUAUCAUGUUAGCCAACCUGCUAGGUGUGAGGUGAUACCUCAGAGUUGUUUUUAUUUGCAUCUUUCUGAUUAUAAGAGAUUUAGAACACUUUUUCAUGUGCUUAUUAAUAGUUUUGAUUUCUUUGACUGAAAAUUGCCUAUUCAUAUCCCUUGCCCAUUUAUCAAUUGGAGAAUGGCUUGAUUUUUUGUACAAUUGAUUUAACUCUUUGUAAAUUUGAGUAAUGAGACCUUUGUCAGAGGUUUUUGUUAUGAAGAUUGUUUCCCAAUUUGUUACUUUCCUUCUAAAUUUGGUUACAUUGGUUUUGUUUGUACAAAAACCUUUUAAUUUGAUGUAAUCAAAAUUAUUUAUUUUACAUUUUGUGACUUUUUCUAACUCUUGCUUGGUUUAAAAAUCUUUCCUUUCCUCAAGAUCUGACAUGUAUACUAUUCUGUGUUCACCUAAUUUACUUAUAGUUUCCUUCCUUAUAUUCAAGUCAUUCACCCAUUCUGAGUUUAUCUUGGUGUAGGGUGUAAGAUGUUGAUCCAAACCUAAUCUCUCCCAUACUGUCUUCCAAUUUUCCCAGCCGUUUUUAUCAAAUAGUGGAUUUUGGUCCCAAAAGCUGGGAUCUUUGGGUUUAUCAUAGACUGUCUUGCUGAGGUCUCUUACCCCAAGUCUGUUCCACUGAUCCUCCUUUCUCUCUCUUAGCCAGUACCUUAUUGUUUUGAUGACCUCUGCUUUAUAGUAUAGUUUGAGAUCUGGUACUGCAAAGCCACCUUCCUUUGCAUUUUUUUUUCAUGAUUUCCCUGGAUAUCCUUGAUCUUUUGUUCUUCCAAAUGAACUUUAUUAUGGUUUCUUCUUAUUCAGUAAAAAAAUUUUUGGUAGUUCGAUGGGUAUGGCACUAAAUAAGUAAAUAAGUUAGGGUAGGAUGGUCAUUUUUAUUCUUUAAAGUAUCUUAUCCAGCCUGGAAACCUUCCCCUGGGUGAGGUUGGAGAAUCUACUCUUUGGAGAAUUUAGGGAAAGGUGAUGGUUUGGAAGCAAGAGGAUAGAAGGCAGUUUCUAGGACUGGGUAGCAUGUAGUGAGGUUUAGGAGCCAGUCAUAGCCUUAUAUGGCAUUCCUGCUGGGGCAGAGUUCUGCCUUGUAGUACCUCAG